ensembl:lncRNA
CAGCAAUUUUAUGCAGAAAAAAUAUUCACAUACAAAGCAAAGCCAGAAUCAUCUGGCACAUAGCUCACAGGGACAGAUGGUGCCACCUGCAUUCUCGGGCAAGAAUAGUCCCAGCCAGCAAGACUGAAUGAGGAAACUAUGAAAGAGAACAGAAUAGUGAAGAGAGCGUGACCAUAAAAAGAAGUGAGAAAUCAGAGCUGGUUAACCCAUCUGUAGUGUUAUUCAACUCCUUUGUGCUAUGAGGACUCAUGGGAUGUAGAAACACUGGACCACAGACUGAAUGAGCAAAAACUCCCAGGAUCUGCGGUGCAUGACAGAAUCCAACUUAUAGGUUCUCCAUCUUUCUGGGUCACACAAUAUUUACUUAGUACCAUCUUGGAUGUCUUUGAGCUGGCCAGAUAGAUAGAAUUUUUUCCACUGGCUUCCAAUAUCAAGUAUUCAACACAGAUGCAGGAAGAAGUUAGGUAUGUCCCUAAGGAAAAAAUAAAAUCAGACAGGAGGAUAAUUGGUAGUCUUUGGCCAAAAGAUUUAGGAAAGAAGCAGCCGUUUAAGAAAUCAUGAUCAGAAGCCGCCACCAUAACUAGAAGAAAGGGCAUGUUUUUAUGACUAUUAUAAAUGGAUGUCAAGCUUAUUUAUGCAGUUGUACAGUUCUGAAGGUCAUUCUCUUCAAAAGUGGAGUUGUAAUCUUGCAUAAUUUGGUUUCUUUGUGCAAUAUCAAUAUCUGCUAGUCAUGUUUGUAUGUUUAUGAUUGUUAUAAUGAUGUAUUACGAUGUUAUUAUCAUGUUAUUAUGAUGUUAUUGCCCUGUGGAGAAGGACUUGGGUGUGCUGGUGGAUGAAAAACUGAAAAUGAGUCACUAAUAUGUGCUUGCAGACCAGAGAGCCAGUCAUAUACUGGGCUGCCUAAAAGUAAGUGUAAUCAGAAGGUGGUAGGAGGUGAUUUUUCACUCUCAUGAGACACCACCUGGAAUACUGCAUUCAGCUCUGGGGCCCUAGUAUAAGACGCACACAGAGCUGUUGGAGAGGGUCCAGAGGACCAUGUCAAUGCUAAGAGGGAUGGAGCACUCCUCCCACAAAGAAUAGCUAAUGGGUUUGUUCCAGCUGAAGAAGAGAAGGCUAUGGGGAGACCUCCUUGUGGCCCUCCAAUACUGAAAGGUAAAGAUGUGGGAAGACUCUUUAUCACGGGGUGUAAUGAUAGGACAGGAGCUUUACGCUAAAAGAUGGUAGAUUUACACUAUGUGCUAAGAAAAAAAUAGAUUAAGUACUAGGAAGAAAUUCUCUACUGUGAAAGUGGUGAGGCACUGGAAGAGUCUUCCCAGAGAAACUAUGGAUGUCUCAUCCCAGAAGGUGUUCAAGGCCAGGAUGGUUGGGGCACUGGGCAGCCUAAUCUGCUGCCUGAUGAUGGCAACUCUGCCAACGGCCGUGGAUUGUAACUGGAUGGGCUUUAAGGUCUCUACUACGAUCCUAUGGUUCUGGUUGUGCAACUUGAAGAACCAAUUAGUUCAGAAGAUCAGGACAUCACUGUGCCAAAUUCUAGGUCAGAGUUUCUUGCUAAGUAUAAUGUAAACUACAGCAGAUGUAUAACAUUAAGAUAGAAGUGAUAGCAAUCACUGACAUGAUAGGCCAGCACUUGGGCAAGAUUUUGUGGAUAAAAGUGUUGAGAUUUGAAGAAUGACACAUUCUUCAUUUUUUAAUAUUGGCAGGAUGCAACUCCCAGUUAUGAGAGACAGCAUGAAAAGGAGAGCAAAAACAUCUGAAAAUCUAAAAAGUGGGCAAUGGGUUUUAGCAGCAAAGCAGAGAACUGAUAUAUGAGAGAGGAAAAACUGGUUUGCAGGGACUGUGAGGGGCUCUGAAAAUAAAAUCAAGAAUUUUAUGUUUAACCUUGCAGAUCAAGUGGACACAGUGGAAGCAGAUAGGAUGGUGGUGAUUUAGUGAAGACUGUGGGCUGGAAAAAGGGAUUUUGCAGGAAGAUUCUGAAUAGAAUAACAACAUAGGUAUCAUACGCAUAUGAAACUGAUUUCAUUUACCAGGUGCUGGAAGUCAGUAUAUUUUAUUUCUUUCAAAAAACACAAAAUGUUCUCAUUGUUCACCUUUCAGAACAAUUUAUACAGAUGUCUGUAAGCUCGCCCACAGCCCGACUUACAAGCAUUGCAUCUUCACUCUCAGGAGUUUAAGUGCAGAAGCCAAAAGAGAGGAGGUUUAGUAACGUCCUUAGUAACGUACAUCGUCAGAAAUGUUUUUGGGGGUGGGUUGUGAGGAGGAGAACAACAUAACAUUUUUGAAUAGUUGAUAGUGCAUUACUUGUCCUGUUUAGCAUGGAGAUCAACCUUGCUGGCAUUUUGCAUGGCUAAUGUAAUUGCAUACAAAAUGCAAAGCAUGUACCAGUCUACAGAGCCAGGACAGUCUUGAUCUAUGAAAGCAAAACAGGUGUUUUUCCUCAGCAAGCAGUGUGCUUGGCGGAAGGCUUAAGCUAAAUGCCCUUGCUGUGUGUGCCACCCAAUCUCCCUGGAAAGGAUUGCUAAUGAGAGCCUGGAGAGGGAAGCGUGCAGAAAGACCAGCCGGAGGCAUGAUCAGCACCAAGCAAGCAGUGGUUGCACUGUGCUGCAAGACCUGCCAAGGAGAAAUAGAGUUCUAUGUGGCAGAUUGUACAAUUUAAUUUAUUUAUUCACAGGCUAUGGUGUGAGCACCAUGAAGUCUGGCUUGUUAAGAAAGGAUAUGGCAGAGCAGAAGGGAGAGGACUGCCUGAUCAUAGUGGCCUUCUCCUGAAGUGUGCACUCUGGGUAACAUGGUAUAGGUAAGAGGGGGAGGUGGGAGCCUGGAUUUUGCCUGGAUCUUUGAAAACACAGAUAUGUAGCCACAGAGGCAAUGCAAGGAGAGAACUGUUUCUGACUGUUCGGGAGGGCUCCUUGCAGAAGAGAUUUCAUUGUGGGGAGUCAUUAAAACUUUGGUUGAGGGUUCAUCUCUGGAAAAGCACCUACCUCAGCAAGAAUACUGUAGUGAGAAAAUUGUUCAUAAAACCUUGCAUUCUGUCUUCCGUUCUGUGUUUGGGAUUUUAAAAGUGUUGGUGGCUCUAGUUUAGAUUCUGAUGAUAAUUCAAAAAACAAGUUUUCUGAAAUUUUCCAGAUGCUAACUCCAAAGACAUGGUACAGGUGCUUCCACCACCUGUCUCUGGACAUCUCAAGUCCCUGUUGAGCAUGCACCAUCCCCGCUGCACCUUAUGGGAGACAUCCGUGAAGUGUGUUUGAAAAAAAAACUGCUAGCAAGAUCAUCAUGAGUACAUGUAAUUUCAGGAAUUAAAUGGACCAGGCAAGGCUAUGAAAGCACUUCAGUCCAGAUCCUCAUGUUACUGUCUGUGUACUUGGGUUGAUUGCUCAAGAGUUUCAAUAAAAUCAUGUUAAA